GGCCACAGCCACGGCAUAUGGAGGUUCCCAGGCUAGGGGUUGAAUUGGAGCUGUAGCCGCAGGCCCAAGCCACAGGCCUAAGCCACAGCCACAGCAACUUGGACCCAAGCUGCUUCUGUGACCUACACUACAGGUCGUGGCAACAGCAGAUCCUUAAUCCACUGAGUGAAGCCAGGAAUCAAACCUACAACCUCAUGGUUCCUAGUCAGAUUUGUUAACCACUGAGCCACAACAGGAACUCCCGACUGCAAGAAGAACAAUCUUCCCCAAAAUUGUUAUUAAAAUUACAUCAGAUGGUGCAUGAAUAUAUGGAUAUUAUUUAAUUUGGAUAUUACAUAUCAGAAUCAUCCAUCAUGAACUACACAUAGCAAUUUAUGAUAUAUUAUGAUAUAUUUAUUCUCUUUGUCACAGAACAUGUUUCCUUUGAUAGAUCAGUUGAAAAUGCAUGUCAGGAUACUGAGUAAAGAAAAGCCAAUGACAUAGCUAAGCUAUCUGUAUUAAUUUUAAAUCUAGUUAAUUCAGCAUCUAAUUUAAGUAACACUGGUAGAUGAUUAAAAUUAUUUUUUCCAUAUCCCAAUCAUCAUAAUUGCUAUUUGGUAGAAAGAAACCUAAGAUCCAAUUAUAAAUAAAAAAGAAAGAUAAAAAUAUGAAAUAAUAUAGUGAAAAUAUUAAUUCUCCUAUUAAUUAUGUCAUUCAGAGAGUGUCAGAUAAAUAAAAAUUUGUGUAGCAAUAUUUGAUAUUGAAGUGUUAAAACAGGUAUAUUUAAAGCAUUUAAAUCAAAUAUCACCAUUAAAUUUAUUUUUAUCUGAAUUAAUUAUUAUACAAGGACUUAGAGUAUUAUUUAUACAAUAUGGUGACAUCUCCCCUGUGGUUAAAUUUUUUUUUUGAUAAAAGCCUUAGAAUAUUCUCCUUUCAAAGAUUAUAAAUGAAAAAUUACAACAAAUAACAAGCCUAACAAAACAACAUUCUGACUGUAUUGUCAUAUUUAUUAUAAAACACUUGGUUCACUGCAUUUUGGCAUUUUAUACAACUGGUUCUGACAGUGAUUAACAUGGUUUUGGCUUCUGUAGUUUCACCCAAGAGAAAUAAAACACCAAAAUCUCCGCAGGUGUGUAAUGGGCCAGAGAUUUACAAUCUGUUCUGCAAAGUCAGACUUCAAAGACUUGAAAAAAAUCCUAAAGUUGGCAAUGCCUCUAUCAUCACUAUUAUUUAAGGUACUUUCUAUAUUUAAAAAGGAACUCUGUGGAUAAUUGCAAAGAUUCCAUCUCCAAUUUAAUGUCUGUACAAGUCUCCUCAGAAGAGAGGAGAGGUGCAAUUUUCAUUAUACCUCUGCACAUCCCAGGUAAAGCAAACAGCACCUUCAUAAAGCAGCAAACUAAAUAAUUAUUUACUUGUACUUCCAAGGAAACUUCACUUGAAGUAUGUUGUAUCCUUUAACUGAUGCUAAGGAGUAGCUGGGAAGUACCAAGGUAAUUACAAAAUGACAAUCAGGCAACAGCACCUGGGCUAUGGCAGCCCUAGGACAAGUCCCCAUAAUUGCUUCCAUGAUUGCUUGGUGGGAACCUAAUAUAAAACUUACCCAAUUAGGGUCAGAAUUCACAUGAUGAUUUAAAUGAUAGGAAUGUUCAUCUGCCUGAGAGCUGCUCAUAGAGGAAAAAGUUCAAAUAGGGCGAUUUAAAAUUUCAAAUGUGAGAGUUUACCCAUUUUAGAGGAUAUCAGGUCUACACUGUUCAAUCUUUUAGAAUUUUCCACUUAUGUGCUUUCAAAUGUCACAUCCAUAGUUUACCAUUCCACGAGUGAACAAACAAUAGAAUAAACAUCACAAAGGGAUAUCAUUUUAGUGAUAUGUUCCCUCAGAAAAUCAACAGUAGAUUACUUUCUUUAAACUGGAAUUCUGUUUAUACAUGUCAAUGAAAACAGCCAGUAAUCUCUCUGUCAACCAAGCCUAUUACUAACAGAAAUAAAAUAAAUUGAAUAAUGGGCCAAUAUUUUUAGUCAAUUUAACCACCAAAGGCUUUGAUUGCUACAAUAUUUUGCCUGAAGUAUAUUUCUCUUCAAGUACAUUUGUUGAAAAUUGUCAAGGUCAGAGAUGCCCACAUUAACCAUAUGAGGGUGGCAAAGAAAAAAGCUCUCUUCCAUUAUAGCAGAUUGCAGCCUUCCUUCCAACAUUUUCUAUCAUCUCAUCAACCUUGUUUAAAAGAGGGAAUAAUGUUUGAAAAAAAAAGAAAGAAAAAAAGGUCCUCAAAUUCCUGACCCAAUAAAGAACACCAUAUAUUACAUACAUAUAUAAUUUAUGUAUAUACUUUCUCAAAACAUAUAGAAUAUAUGUAUAUAAAUAGUAUACAUAAUGUAUAUGUAUAAAAAUAGAAGUAUAAAUACAAAUUUGGAGACCAUUACAACAUUACACAUUUUUAGGUUUUAGUUUUUUUAAGGUAUGAAUAAGAAUAAAAUAUUCAUCUUUCAAAACUAUUUAUUAAAAACAUAAAUAAUCUAAUUGCAAGUGUGCUACCAAAGUUUGCGUUAGUAUAUGAACAGUAACUUUCUAUCAUUUACCAGUGUUAUACAAUUCCACAUUUAAUUAUCUUUUGUUCCUUCUAGGUUUUUGCAGAAGGAACAAGUAUACUAGCCACAACAUGCGUCAGAACCACAAUGCUAUGUUCCUCAGCUUACUUUCCUGACUGAAGUUAUUGCACUGUAUCUGCCAGGAUGUUUUAGCAAGUUUCAAUCAAUAAUGUUAACCUGAAGCCAGCAUUGACCUUACCGAACUUGAACUCACUGUAACAUUUUAUUACAAAGCUUGGAAGCUGUAAUAGUUCAUUGUUUUAAAGUAAAAAAUAUAAAUUUUAGAUUUACAUAAAAGCCAUAAUUUAUGUAGUGAUGUUAAUUUUGAGGGUAUGAUGUGAUUUAAUCUUUCUUUCUCCUUGCUAUUUUGUCACAGAAAUGCUGAAGCCAUCUGAAGGUUACAAACAAUGUUCGCUAAUAACGAGCUCUUAUGUCCUUGUAGGUUUCACUUUGAUGGAUAUCCAUAGUGUUUUCCCAUGACAUAAUUCUACUGAGAAAAAACACAUCUUGAAAACACAGCUUGUGCUUUCACCUUCAAAUAUAACUAGCAUGUUUUAAAAAUAAACUAAAAAUGAGAAAUAAGUGCACAGGUUUGUCAUAACCCUGUAAUCAUUUUUAUUGCAGGCAUUGUCAGAUUUAAUUGGCAAAAAUAAACAUUCUAUAGAAAAAGAGUUUAUAUACUGGAGUGCUUUCUGUGGAUUAUAUAUUUUAAAAAUCUAUCCUUUUAGUCAUAAGAGAGUAAUAACACUCUAAUAAGAUGAAUACAGCAUAUGCUUUCCCUGAAAAAGCUAUCUGUUUUAAUAAAGUCUUAACAUAAACAAGUCUCUAUAUUUCAAUGUCCAUCUUGGUAGAGAGUUUAUAUUUAACCUCAAGAACCUCUUUAACUUUUAUAUCACCUAUUGAUUCAUAUUAAAUAACCAUAAGACAAUGCAGAAUGAAAACAACCAAAAAUACACGUGUAAGGAUUUUCUCAAAUGCUUCUAUUCCCCACAUAAAAAUAGAGAAUCAAGGCAUUGCAGUACUUUACAUAAUCAACAAUGAAAAACUACCUAAGAUGUACAUGAUUUGUGUAAAGGCUAAACUGGGUUUUCAAAUGAGACUUCUGAAAUGCUAGCACUGGUGGAUCUUCAUAUUUGGUAACUUUAAUUCCAGUGCAGUUUAACAUGAAAUGUUAUCAAUUGAAUCCACAGGUCUUUUAAUCAGAAGUUAGUCUUCCAUUUGCAUUAUAUUUGGAUUCCACGCACUUUAUAACAGAUUUCAACAUAAAAAAUGACCUCAUUGAUUUACCUUGAACAGACAUCUAUUCAACAAUUAUGUAUGUUAGCUGUCUUUCAAUAGACAGACUGUAAAAUGAUCUUAUAAAACUCUAUACAAGAAGGAUUAAAUUUAGAAAUUGUGCGUGAAAUGAUCACAGAAGCCCAUUUACUUGCUUAAAAGUUUAUGUCUCCAUCUCCUGUGCAGUGAAUGCCACGUAGCCUAGAGAUUCCAUGAAUAUAGGAUGAAACACAGACAUUGGUAAGACUGAGUACUCAGGCAGAAAAUAGCUGUUGUAACUCAUAUACAAAUUUAGACUUUAUCCAUGACACCAUGUCAGCAUAAAUGAUUUAGGGAAAGUAUGCCAUGAACUCAAUAGAGAUGCCCUGAGGAUCUUCACAUGAAAAACUUAACACUCAUUGUAGAUACAAGUAUAUGAAUUUUGAUAUGUCCUUAGCUAUGUAUUUAUUUCUAUAUUGUAAUACAAUCAUCUCAACAUUAGUGCAAAUGUGAUACUAGAAAAUGUGAUACUUAUUUAUAAACUGUAUAAGACUCAAAAUGUGAAAUACCUUUAUACAUACACAGUGGUAAUAAAUGUAUAAAUUAUUUAAACAAACAGGAUAAAGUUUCAGUCCACAUUUUUUAAAUGGGAAAACAAAUAGAACUUAUUUUUUUUUCCUGGCGAAGAAUGUGCCUUUCAUUAUGUAAAGGAUUUUAAUGCUGAUUUAUAUGUGAACAUAAAGCGAAGUUAUUAAGGACAGUCUUUCAUUAGGUUUUUGGUAAGUAGUUUCUAAAUAUAUGCAUGUCACUUUAAUGAAAAGGGUGAUGAUAUUAAUUUCUAAAUGACCUACAGAUGUGUUUAUAUAGCACCUGUCUGUCUCUAUUGGGCAAAUUUUCCAUUUAAUUUCUCAUAUAUCAAAUAGGAGAGAGUAGGCAAUUACAGAUAGAGUUAUUUGAUAUUCAUAUGAAGAAAUCUAACAAUUUCUUAAAAAAUGAUAUUUUUGAUAGGUGAAAUUUGGGCACUAUCCUUUAAGGUAAAAAAGAUACUUUCUUUUUUAUUUGAAAAUGUAGUGUGUGAAAAGUGGAACUGUUUAAAGAUGCUCCACCUGUUUUAGAAAACAUGAAAUUCUCCCUGUCCUGGGGAACAUCUGGUUUUAAGAAAGUAAAAUGUAAUUACUGCAGGGAGAUCUGAGCUAUUCCAAAUGCCUAAUCUCAUUGGGCAGGUCCUACAAUUCAUGGGAGGUCCAAAUUAAAGCUGUAUGGAUUUAACUGUUUUUGAAAAUCAUUCCCAAGGCUGAUGCAACCUCAAAAGCCAUCCACAGUUGUUGGUAACAAAACAUUAUACCUAAGGGCCUUUUCCUGAUAACUGAAAUUCACUACUUUAAUAACCCCUGCAGAAAAUUUCAUUUUCCAUUGUAAUAUAGGACAUAUAUUCUUGCUUUCAUAAGUCAUGUGGUAGAGAUGGCCAGCUAUCUCUCAAAUACUCAUGCAGAAGAGUUUUG
ensembl:lncRNA